GUGCUUGUGGUGUAGUGGCUAUCAUAUCCGCCUAACACGCGGAAGGUCCCAGGUUCAAGCCCUGGCAGGCACA
rnacentral:tRNA from 1 species